rnacentral:rRNA from 1 species
GAGACGCUGGCGGCGUGCCUAACACAUGCAAGUCAAGGAGAAUUCCCGACUUGUCGGGAUAGUAAACUGGCGAACGGGUGAGUAACACGUAGGUAAUCUACCCUCGGGAUCGGGAUAACCUCGCGAAAGUGGGGAUAAUACCGAAUAAAGUCUCGGUAUAAUUUGUCGAGAUGAAAGAUGGGGAUCUUCGGACCUAUUACCUGAGGAUGAGCCUGCGCCUGAUUAGCUAGUUGGUAGGGUAAAUGCCUACCAAGGCAACGAUCAGUAGCUGGUCUGAGAGGAUGAUCAGCCACAUUGGGACUGAGAUACGGCCCAGACUCCUACGGGAGGCAGCAGUGAGGAAUUUUGCGCAAUGGGCGAAAGCCUGACGCAGCAACGCCGCGUGACUGAUUAAGCUCUGAGGAGUGUAAAAGUCUGUCGUAGAGGAAGGAACUAUCCGAUAAGAAUAUUGUCGGAUACUGACGGUACUCUAUGAGAAAGCUCCGGCUAACUCCGUG